GCCAGGGGCUGUGGUGCAUGCCUGUAAUCCAGCACCUCAGGAGGCUGAGGCAGGAGGAUUGCGAGUUCAAAGCCAGCCUCAGCAAUUCAGUGAGACCCUGUCUCUA
rnacentral:sRNA from 1 species